rnacentral:tRNA from 1 species
GGGGGUGUAGCUCAGUGGUAGAGCGUUCGCUUUGUGGUGAAAGGCCCGGGGUUCGAUCCUCGCAUCUCCA